CCUACGGGUGGCAGCAGUGGGGAAUAUUGGACAAUGGGGGGAACCCUGAUCCAGCGACGCCGCGUGAGUGAAGAAGUAUUUCGGUAUGUAAAGCUCUAUCAGCAGGGGAGAAAGAAAUGACGGUACCUGACUAAGAAGCCCCGGCUAACUACGUGCCAGCAGCCGCGGUAAUACGUAGGGGGCAAGCGUUAUCCGGAUUUACUGGGUGUAAAGGGAGCGUAGACGGCGAUGCAAGUCUGAAGUGAAAGGCGGGGGCUCAACCUCCGGACUGCUUUGGAAACUGUAUGGCUGGAGUGCAGGUGAGGUAAGUGGAAUGCCUAGUGUAGCGGUGAAAUGCGUAGAUAUUAGGAGGAACCCCAGUGGCGAAGGCGGCUUACUGGACUGUAACUGACGUUGAGGCUCGAAAGCGUGGGGAGCAAACAGGAUUAGAUACCCUAGUAGUC
rnacentral:rRNA from 1 species